AUUGAACGCUGGCGGCAUGCUUUACACAUGCAAGUCGGACGGCAGCGGAGGUGCUUGCACCUGCCGGCGAGUGGCGAACGGGUGAGUAACAUAUUGGAAUGUACCGAGUAGUGGGGGAUAACCAAUCGAAAGAUUGGCUAAUACCGCAUACGUCCUGAGGGGGAAAGCAGGGGAUCUUCGGACCUUGCGCUAUUUGAGCAGCCAAUAUCUGAUUAGCUAGUUGGUGGGGUAAAGGCCCACCAAGGCGACGAUCAGUAGCGGGUCUGAGAGGAUGAUCCGCCACACUGGGACUGAGACACGGCCCAGACUCCUACGGGAGGCAGCAGUGGGGAAUUUUGGACAAUGGGGGCAACCCUGAUCCAGCCAUGCCGCGUGUCUGAAGAAGGCCUUCGGGUUGUAAAGGACUUUUGUUAGGGAAGAAAAGGGAAGUGCUAAUACCACU
rnacentral:rRNA from 1 species